CGUAUGACAGGAUACGGAGGACAGUUGUGGCGCACGUUUUCGGUGAACGCACUCUGGCCACACUGGAGCGUCUUCUGAGCCUGCUGUCGGCCUUUGAGGUCGUGGUAUGGAUGACGGAUGGCUGGCCGCUGUAUGAAUCACGCCUGAAGGGAAAGCUGCACGUUAUCAGCAAGCGUUACACUCAGCGCAUUGAGCGACAUAAUCUGAAUCUGAGACAACAUCUGGCAAGGCUGGGACGGAAGUCGCUGUCGUUCUCAAAAUCGGUGGAGCUGCAUGACAAGGUCAUCGGGCAUUAUCUGAACAUAAAACACUAUCAGUAAGUUGGAGUCACUACCGGCUUUCAGACCCGCGGGUUCGACUGGGUAAUGUUUCUAUGCAAUUCAUAUGUUAAGUGUUUGUAUGUUUGGUAUGUAUAGUUAUUUUGUUUUAUACAUUGUAUUUAGAUGUGAUUUAGUUUGUCAAUUAAUUGCAUUUAAAAAAUAUGUUCUGUGAACAAGCAUUGUUUAUAUACAUUAUGUGAAUGUAAUAUGCGAGUGAUUGAGAAUGAUACAGUGAUAUAUACAAUGCGAAUAUAAUAGUUUUAUUAUAUGUAUUGAUAUUGAUAGAAAUAAUGAAGUAAUAAAUCUCGUAAUGUGGUUGUUUAUGCAUCACUAAAAUGAAGUGUAGUAAUUUUCCCAAUUGUUAGAACGGAGUAAUUGCAUAUUUAAUCUUUCCUUAGCCGUUUUUUUGCUAAGAAUAAAAUCAUCUGUGCGAUAACGACUAAUUCUUUUAAUGAAUGUUUUUAUUCCUGAAUACUGCUCCCAUAACAAGACAGGGGAGCAGACAAUCAUGGCAAUUUCAUCGUGAAACACACUUCUUGCCGCACUGGCAUUCAUCGCU
rnacentral:rRNA from 1 species